UACGUAGGGGCUAGCGUUGUCCGGAAUCAUUGGGCGUAAAGCGCGUGUAGGCGGUCCGGUAAGUCCGCUGUGAAAGUCGGGGCUCAACCCUCGAAUGCCGGUGGAUACUGUCGGGCUUGAGUACGGAAGGAGGCGAGUGGAAUUCCUGGUGUAGCGGUGAAAUGCGCAGAGUAUCAAGGAGGAACACCGAUUGCGAAGGCAGCUCGCUGGGACGUUACUGACGCUGAGACGCGAAGCGUGGGAGCAAACAGG
rnacentral:rRNA from 1 species